GCAUCGGUGGUGUAGUGGUAAGCACGCGUCCCCGGUAUGGAUGAAACGAGGGCUCGACUCCCACCUGAGGCC